rnacentral:rRNA from 1 species
CAAUAGCGUAUACUAACGUUGUUGCAGUUAAAAGGCUCGUAGUCGAACAUCUGAUCCUGCGAACCUGACCCAGCUUCUAGUAAGCUGUUGUGUCGGUGUGCGCGGAUCAUGUCUUGUUUCUGAUUUCAUAUGAUUGUGUGUCUUGAUUGACACCAAUUCAUAGAUCAGAUCAUUUACUGUGAGUAAAUCAGGGUGCUCAAAGCAGGCUUUAAUGCUUGUAUGGUUCAGCAUGGAAUAAUAAGAUAAGACUUCGGUUUUGUUUUGUUGGCUUGUAACGAACCAAAGUAAUGAUUGAAAGGGAUAGUUGGGGGUGCUAGUAUUCAAUGGUCAGCGGUGAAAUGCAAAGACCCAUUGAAGACUAACUUAUGCGAAAGCAUUCACCAAGGAUAUCUNCUUUGA